GGCAAUACUAUUUUCAAUUUAAUUCACAAUUUCACAAUAUCACAGGGCAAUACUAAUUCCAGAAUUCCCACUUCACAGUGCAAUUUCACAAUUUCUAUUUUCUCACUAGUUAUUUCACAAUUCACAGCACAAUUCACAAUUUCACAUGAUAUACUCAUCCAAAUCUUAACAGUUUGAUAUGGAAUUUGAAAAAUGACACUAUACCUCUAGAGUGGAAGCACAUUCAUAAUCACCAGAUUCACCACCAUGUUCCCAAGUAGCAGUAGUUGCAUCAAAACUUCCCGUCACUAACAAUUUACCAAAUGUAGAUGCCUGCAGGCUGUAAGAACAUGUACUUAGAGUAAGAGUCACAUAGAAAAUGAAGUAACCAACAUUAAUUGAAAAAAGAAUCUAGAAAUGUGGAUUUAUUUGAGUACAAAAUUGCAAUUCUCUUGACAAGCUUUACAUUUUUUAAACAAGACAAUAUAAUGUACUACAUGUUUAAGGACGAUGAAACACACCAGGGCUAAUUGUGAAAGUUUAACCCAAUGAUACUCACCAAGACAAAAUUGCAAUUCUCCCAAAUUCAAAAGCUUUCCUAAUUUUCACUACCCCAUAGACACAAAAUUUCAACGCCAACUCCUCGUUCUCUUUGCUCUAAUUCUCACAGCUUCUUCAAUCUUAGGACUCUCUUCCUUGAGGUUGAAUGCCGAAAAUCUCAUUCGCAAAACCCACCAAACAACCCUUUCACCCUCUCCAUUUUGAAAGUCUACCAGAUUCUGCCCGUAGCAAAAUCUACCAAACAACCCCAAACUAGCUCUGAAAGCUUUCUUAAAGUUGCAGAUUGAGAAUACGUUAGAGCAAAUCUACCAGUUCGCUGACUAGGUCAUCAGUGGCAAGGUCAACAAACAAGGAAGAAAAGGCAGGGGAGGGGGAGGAGGAGGAGGAGGCGGAGGCGGAGACAGCAUCGGGAGUAGGUGGCGAACGAGGAGGCAGAGUGGAUCUGUGGAUGGAUGAAAUCGAAUGGAUUGGAUGUUAAACUUCAAAUGGUUAAUGUAUCGGGUAAAUUAAUGGGCUUCACUUCUUGCUGGACUAGGACAUUUGGAGAGUUAAAAUAAAAUAAUAAUAAUAAUAAUAAUAAUAAUAAUAAAUCUGGGCCUACGUGAUUGGUGGCCCAAAGGUUCAGUGCGGGCAUUUACUUGCACUGGACCUCAUUGGGCUCCGCCCCUAAUAAAGAGCAAUGAUAUUUAGUCUUACUAGGGUUGCAACUUAAGUCUAGGUUGCGCUAAUGUAGUAUUAAUUGAUAUAUAGAAUUAAAUAAUUCAUUUAAUUCCAUAUUUUAUUUAACCUAUUAUUUAGUGCUAUUUAGACUGGGAUUGUUACCACAGUGGGGUUACAUAGCAUUACUCCUUAUAAAAACAGCGUUGAGUUGCUUUUAAGUUUGUCCUUUGAAAACCAUGAUUGACAAUUAAGUAACUUAAACUCCCGUUUUGCCCCAUUAAUUUUUGUUAUAAUAGAAGGAAUAGUUUUUUUUUUUUUUUUUUUUUUUUUUUGAAAAAUGGUUGUAAAAGAAUGAAAGGUCUUCGAUUUACGUGUAAUAUUAUUUUAUUGAAAAUUGUGCGGUUGAAAAUAAGAGAGUAAAAAUUUUAAUUUAAUUUGAUGAGAUUUAAUGAGGAGCCAAAUGAGUGCUAAAAGUAAGUUUGACUACAAAACAUGCUCAAGCAGAUGGAGAAGAUACAAUCAAUAUUUUUUUCUUUCUUUUUUUUUUUUUUUGUUGGUAAGAACUAUAGAAAUCCACUCAUGGUAUGAGAAGUACGUGAGCAGGCGGUGGGUUAGACGUAUUUUGCAACUGAAUCUGGCACUAGUACUGAAGUGUGAAAUCUGACCUUAGAAUGGGUGAGAACAGAUUAUGAUGGCAGGGAGUGUGGUGAGUGACAAAUCUGGUAAUGGUUGGUUGGUGCACAUUGAGUGCAGUUGCAUUGUCGUUUAAUGUCUACUUUCUAUAACAGUUACCAGUUUAGCUUAGAAACGACAAAACAACAUGCUUUCAAAUCGCCAAAGACUAUAUAGACUUGAUGAUUAAGAUAAUGGAAAAAAUUUAUCCUGUAAAUAGAUUUGAAAUGAAGAUUUGUCACCCGCUCAACUGUUUAGGAGCCAAAAUUAUAUGGACAAUAAAUAAUGUUAGAAAAUAGUGAAAAAUUAGGCUCAGUCUUUUCAACCUUUCAGCUAGGUGGUUUUGGUCCUUUAGUUUUAAAAAGGGGUUCUAAGCCCCUUGCCUAUUUAAAUUUGUGAAUUUUUGAUCCUUGCAUAAUAGAAUCUGUCAAUGUGGACGUAAAAAUUAUGAACAACUUUCAUGUAACUUAAAACUUGAUGUGAAGAGGAUUGACGGUAUUUUCCUUUGGCUUUGAGUCACGUGAAAUUUACAUGUGAUUUAAAUUUCCAUAUUGACAGCAUUUGUUAUGCGGAGACCUGACUCAAAUCCCAAAAUGAAAGGAGUAGCUCACAUUUCCUAUAUGUUUUGAUCUUUGUUCCUUAUUUGUGAAAGGUCUAAUCGAUGGGGGAAAAAAAGGAAAAGAAAAAUUCAUGUUCAAGUCUUAUUACCAAGUGUGAGCAGCAACAUUUAUAUGAAAUUGAAUGUUCCACUUCAUUUGCCAUAGCUACUUUCAUCUUUGUAUACGUUCAGAUAAAGGCCUAUGAUAUAGGUUGAAUGACAGGAAGUGAGACUGGAGGUAUUUAAAUAGGUUAGAGUUCAAGAACACUACUUUUGAAGGUUGUGAAUCCAAAACUACACUAAUUAGAAAGUUAGGAUACUUAAUCCUAAUUUUUGCUAAAAUGGAAAUGGUACACAAGGACAGUAUUGGCUUGCUUGGCACAUUAUCUAAAUAAUUGGAUAUGUAUCGAUUCCGAUAAUUUAAACUUUUAGAUGAUGAGGUUUAAAAUUUGUGAGAAAAUUCCUAAGACAUGUGAAGUAUGGAACUCAUUAAUCUUUUUCGCACUUUAAUUGACAAGUACGUGUAUUAUUUAUUUAUGUAUGGGUCUCAAUUAAUAGUGAGUCUCGAUUAUUUAUUGCACAUGUUAAUUAAAUAGUGACAGAAAAUACUAAUUACUUCCUAUUCUAAGAAUACUAAAAAAAUUUCUUUAAUGUGAUAUAUCUUGGAAAAAGAUUUAACCUUUGUCUCUUUUUAAUUCGGAAAUGCUUAAGUCGACACCACUUGAAGUGACUCCCUCUCUAAACCUAAAACCUCGUACAAGCCAGCUCUACCCACCAUUGCUUCUUUAUUUUAUUAAGGAUUUUAUAUUUUAAAAUAUAUAACUUCCACCACUCAUAUUUGGUGUUCCAUUUUCAGCUUUCUAGCUUCCAUUUUCCAAAUAAAUCAAGAGAUCGAAAAAUAUAUUUAUUCAAAAUCAUGACAUUUCAGAUCCCAAACUAAUCAAGCCACGAUAUGUCGAACAUCAAAUAUGUCCGUCCAUCCACUCUAUUCCUCUAAGAUCCAGUAAAUAUUUGGAGUGUCGUGAAUUGAAUAAUUAAAUAUUCAAAUAAUCGUAAAGGGAACGAAAUGUCAUACUAGUGGAUAAAUUACCUUCCCACUGCAAAAUUCUAAAUUUGUCCACUAAAAUAGAACUUUUAUAUAAUGUUGGUGCUAUAUGUAUGGCCCUGUAAUUAAGCACAAGGGACUCAGUGGUUUACAGCAAAGAACAGGAAAUCAUGUACAUGAACAAAUAUUGGGGUUUAGAUCUAAAUGGAUUUUUGAAUAUUAAGUGGGGUGUGGGUGGGUUGGGAUGGAAAUAAUCAUAGAGUGCACUAGCCUAGGGGAAUGUUUGUGGGACCCAAGAAUGACUAAAACCAGUGGAGUUUGUCAGGUCUUUCUCAAUAUAAAGAGAGAAAAAUAUGAAUGGGCAUGGCAUGGGAGACCUAAUCAUCACCUUAUAGAAAAUAACCCAAGAAAAAGACUACUAGUACAUUUUGUAAAUAUGGCAAUGUGAUUCAAUUGAUUUAGUCUUCACAGUGAGAUUAGGUAAAUCUUUUCCAUUAUUCAUUGAAUUGGUCUUCAAACUGUUAAUUUGAAUACACAAGCCGGAUUAGGUAAGAGCUGUCCCAAAUACACCUUUUGGUAAGGUAAGCUAGAUAGUAUACUAAACGACGGUUAUUAAACGUGCCUUGUGUAUGUAGAACUAAAACCAGUGUAGUUCUGAAACGAACCGGGAAAUGUAUACCCUAGUUCCUUCAUCUCCUUCCGAUGUACUUGCCUCCUAAAGACAUCGUCUUGUAUUGAAAACUAAUACAAGAAAUAGGCUAUAUUUUUCAAUCUCCGGAUACUGAUUAUACAAAUUAUUAUGGCUGUGUUUGGCUACCAAAAAUCUGGGCUAGCUUAAAUUCUUCAACAUCUUGUCUUCUAUCAGUAAACAGUAUCCCAAAUAGUACCUUAAACUGAAGCCUAUACCUAAACAAACUUCAAACUCCCAUCUGGAUCAGACGUUAAAGAUAAGUAAAAAGGAGAGGAAAGAAACCAUUGUACUGUAUGAGUUAGCAGUUUUUUGCAAUAUCCAAACAAAGUAGCCCAAAAUCAAAGCACUAAAAAAAAAACCCAAAAAAAAAAAAAAAAAAAAAAAAGAAAGAAAGAAAAAAAAAAAAAACACUUUCAACGGAAAAACUAAUUGAGUCAAUAUAAUUAUAGCAUCUACAUCAUCAAAUCAACCAAAAGAAACAUGAAAAAAAUGAAAUGGAAAGAAAAAAUCAAGAACUGAAACAAGGGUUUUCACUUUUCAUUCAUGGAUUCAAAGAGAAAGGGGUCUAACAACAUAACUACACAUUACAAUCUUCAUCCUCUCCUACCCAAUUAUUCUAAAAACUCAUUCUAAGCUAAACUAAGCUGCAGCCUUCUUGGGGGAUUUGGUAGCCUUUGAGGGUGAUUUUGGGGAUUUGGUGCUGAAAGGUGAGAUGAAGGUGAAGAAGAAGGAUUGUUAAAUUCCUUGUUCCCAUUAAUAUCAAAGUUGGGAACUUGAAUCAGUUCAUUAAUAGACUUGAAAUCAUUCUGGGUUGAAAAUCCCAAGUUGAGUUCUUGGUCAUCAUGAAUUUUAGGGUUUUGCAAAACUAGAUCAGGAACUUUUUUCGACGAAACUGAAGGAGAAGAAGAAGAAGAACUAGCAGUAUUUAAAGAUCUUCUGUUCUUUCUUGAACCCCCUCCAACAGGAAUAUUUCUUAAAGAUCCCCCUUCAGUCCAAUAUCUUCUGCAUGUUUUGCAAAAAUACCUUGGCUGCGAGAGACUGUAAUUAUUGUAAUAGCAAAACUUUGUGUUUGUUGAAUUGCACCUUGGACAAUUCACAGCUUGCUCUUUCUGAGACCUGAUCUUCCUUUCUAAAGGGGGUUUUGGACAUGUAUUUGUGACUAUUUCUUCCAUUGGUUUCAUCACUAUAUCCUAAAAAACCCAAAAUGAAUACAUAAAGCAUGAAAAUUUUGCAUAAAGAAGCCAUAUCAAGAACAAACAAAUUAAGAAAACCAACUCCCAUAAUUUCAGAGCAAAGCAUAUACAUACAGGAGAGAAACAAACAAACAAACUCAGGUGCUUUACACUUUUUUGAAGAUCAGGACAGAAGGAAAAUAAGAAAAGUGAAGAAGAAAUAAGUAGAUUAAUAGAAUUUAAUCUUUUUUCAGUCUACAACAAAAGCAAAAGAGGAAGUAUAUAAAUUGAAAACAAGCUUUAGAAUUUUUAUUUUUUUAUUUUUUUUAAUAAAAGGAAAAUCAACUUUUAGAAAAGCAUAUAUAUGAUAUAAAGAAGAAAGCUGAAAAACAGGAAAACAAGGGAUCACCAAAGAGGAGCUUUGGAUCUAAAUACCUGAGGCCAUUUAGCAGUAUCCAUGGAUGAAGAAGGAUCAAGAUGAAGAAGGGAAAUAGUAUUUUCAGAAGAGAGAAACUUCUGCUUUCUUUCAAGUGGUUCUGAAAAGCAGUGAAAGAAAUGUUUGCGAAUGUGUAUGUGGAAUGUUCUAUGUGCUUUAUGAGUGUGUAAGAGAGGGGCGUGGUUGGGGGUGAUUUUUCUAUGUUAAAUUAAAAAUUUAUUUUUGUUGAUUCCUUCCAAAAUUAAAUGUUAAAGACAAUAUAUAAAAUGAUUUAUAUUUAAUUCUAUACAAAAUUUGGAUAUUUAGAUUAUAAUUUUUUUAGUGGAGGAAUGUAUUAAUCCUUAAAUCAUUUACUAAUAAUUUUUAAUUGAUCGGG
rnacentral:lncRNA from 1 species